rnacentral:rRNA from 1 species
AGAGUUUGAUCCUGGCUCAGGAUGAGCGCUGGCGGCGUGCUUAACACAUGCAAGUCGAACGAUGACCCGGUGCUUGCACCGGUGAUUAGUGGCGAACGGGUGAGUAACACGUGAGUAACCUGCCCUUAACUCUGGGAUAAGCCUGGGAAACUGGGUCUAAUACCGGAUAUGACUCCUCAUCGCAUGGUGGGGGGUGGAAAGCUUUAUUGUGGUUUUGGAUGGACUCGCGGCCUAUCAGCUUGUUGGUGAGGUAAUGGCUCACCAAGGCGACGACGGGUAGCCGGCCUGAGAGGGUGACCGGCCACACUGGGACUGAGACACGGCCCAGACUCCUACGGGAGGCAGCAGUGGGGAAUAUUGCACAAUGGGCGCAAGCCUGAUGCAGCGACGCCGCGUGAGGGAUGACGGCCUUCGGGUUGUAAACCUCUUUCAGUAGGGAAGAAGCGAAAGUGACGGUACCUGCAGAAGAAGCGCCGGCUAACUACGUGCCAGCAGCCGCGGUA